rnacentral:rRNA from 1 species
CUACGGGUUGCUGCAGUGGGGAAUAUUGCACAAUGGAGGAAACUCUGAUGCAGCCAUGCCGCGUGUGUGAAGAAGGCCCGAGGGUUGUAAAGCACUUUCAAUUGGGAGGAAGGUUAGUAAGUUAAUACCUUGCUAGCUUGACGUUACCUUUAGAAGAAGCACCGGCUAACUCUGUGCCAGCAGCCGCGGUAAUACAGAGGGUGCAAGCGUUAUUCGGAAUUACUGGGCGUAAAGCGCGCGUAGGCGGACUGGUAAGUCGGUCGUGAAAGCCCUGGGCUCAACCUAGGAACUGCAUCCGAUACUGGCAAUCUAGAGUUUAAGAGAGGGAAGUGGAAUUCCAGGUGUAGCAGUGAAAUGCGUAGAUAUCUGGAGGAACAUCAGUGGCGAAGGCGACUUCCUGGCUUAAAACUGACGCUGAGGUGCGAAAGCGUGGGUAGCGAACGGGAUUAGAUACCCGGGUAGUC